UACAGAGGGUGCGAGCGUUAAUCGGAAUUACUGGGCGUAAAGGGCGCGUAGGCGGAUGGCACAGUCAGAUGUGAAAUUCCCGGGCUUAACCUGGGGGCUGCAUUUGAUACGUGUUGUCUUGAGUUCGGAAGAGGGUCGUGGAAUUCCCAGUGUAGAGGUGAAAUUCGUAGAUAUUGGGAAGAACACCGGUGGCGAAGGCGGCGACCUGGUCCGACACUGACGCUGAGGCGCGAAAGCGUGGGGAGCAAACAGG
rnacentral:rRNA from 1 species